GACAGAGGGUGCAAACGUUGUUCGGAAUUACUGGGCGUAAAGCGUGCGCAGGCGGUUUUGUAAGUCUGUCGUGAAAUCCCCGGGCUCAACCUGGGAAUGGCGAUGGAGACUGCAAGGCUAGAGUUUGGCAGAGGGGGGUAGAAUUCCACGUGUAGCAGUGAAAUGCGUAGAGAUGUGGAGGAACACCGAUGGCGAAGGCAGCCCCCUGGGUCAAAACUGACGCUCAUGCACGAAAGCGUGGGGAGCAAACAGG
rnacentral:rRNA from 1 species